GGCAAGCUCAGCCUUCAUAUUACUGAACACACGGUCCCCAAAUAAAUAGAAAUAGGAGGACAGAUUGAGUGGAAAACACAGCUGAUGUUUUGAACAGCCCAAAUGGCAGAGGGAGAAAGAUGACACAGUGUAGCAUGCAAACAACAGCACGAGAGAGAAAGGGAAAGAAAGCCAGAAAGCGAGGAAACUCCUCAAGCUCAGCAGUCAUGCUCUUGGACCUUGGCGUGAGCGUGGUGCU